GGCUGAAUGGUCUAGCGGUAUGAUUCUCGCUUUGGGUACAUUAAAACCACAGAUGCGAGAGGCCCCGGGUUCAAUCCCCGGUUCAGCCC
rnacentral:tRNA from 1 species